GUAACGGGUUAAAGUAUAGCUUAUAGUUGUUAUGAUCCUUAAGAUGGAUGUUUGUAUGAGGGUGUAAUGUUCUAUAGUGGCUGUAGUAUCUAUUUAGUGGCAUAAAGUUCAUGGAUAUCUCUUGUUAUAAAGAUAGGUUAGGUAUGUUAUAAAGUUUCCAACUCAUCACUUUCCAUGCAUGAGUUAUUUAUAUAGAUAUGUUACAUACACGAGUAAGCUGGCAGCCACCAGAUGUACCUCUUGUUGAAGACAAUGUUCAAAACCUUCUUAUCUAUUUAUUUUCAAGGCAUUUAUUUCAUAAUUUCUCAGUUUUA
rnacentral:lncRNA from 1 species